rnacentral:rRNA from 1 species
GACGAACGCUGGCGGCGUGCUUAACACAUGCAAGUCGAACGGUGAAGCUCCAGCUUGCUGGAGUGGAUCAGUGGCGAACGGGUGAGUAACACGUGAGCAACCUGCCCCUGACUCUGGAAUAAGCGCUGGAAACGGCGUCUAAUACUGGAUACGAGAAGGGUCUGCAUGGGCACCUUCUGGAAAGUUUUUCGGUUGGGGAUGGGCUCGCGGCCUAUCAGCUUGUUGGUGAGGUAAUGGCUCACCAAGGCGACGACGGGUAGCCGGCCUGAGAGGGCGACCGGCCACACUGGGACUGAGACACGGCCCAGACUCCUACGGGAGGCAGCAGUGGGGAAUAUUGCACAAUGGGCGAAAGCCUGAUGCAGCGACGCCGCGUGAGGGAUGACGGCCUUCGGGUUGUAAACCUCUUUCAGCAGGGAAGAAGCGAAAGUGACGGUACCUGCAGAAGAAGCACCGGCUAACUACGUG